GUGGAGUUGUCCCAGAGGUAAUCAGUGGUUAGUAUGGAAACAGAGAGGAAAAGGAAAGUGUCCCACAGUAUGUUUUCAUCCGGAGGCCCCUGUCUGUCCUGGAAGUUGACUGGUGGCCACAGGUGACGGCGCAGCUCUGGAAAACCGCCGGUAUGUUGUCACACAAACUCAGACACCACCUCCAGGCUUGAGCUCAAGCUUCCCUCCCUCCCAGCCUCCCUGUGCCGUGCCCAAGGCCCGGCACACACCACCACUCCUCUCGCUGUCACCUUGGAUGGAUGCAGUGGGAUGCGGCUAUGUCCUGAGGGCUCAGGGAGGUUGUCCUCCUCCGCCUCCCUCUCUCCCUCCGCCUCCUCACACAGCGCCUUCCUGCCUGUUAUCUCCAGGCGAGGAGUCUCAUCAGCCUGCACAGUAGCUCUGGCUUCCAGCCUUCUCACCACCACAGGAGCCAGGAGGGAGGCCGCUCCUAUAUAUCAGCAGACUCUCAUGUGGACGACUUCAAGGCCCCUCUCAGGCAAGCUUUCAGUCAAGCCUACAUUGAGGCACACGCACACAAAACAAACAAACAAACACACACACACACACACACACACACAAACAGUGGUUUGCAUUCAUUUUAAGAGUGUAAGAAGUGUAGAUUUUAGUGUGACACUCAGAUCGUUCCAGAGCAGCUACAAUGGAAACAUGUUCCGGUAUCUGAAAUAUGAACAAGUGUCAGUCCCUCUGAAUCAAAGACUAGGGCUCAUUCUACAUUUUAACUCUUUAACCUUAAACAGUCACGCAGGGGGGAAAUCGGUCGUGAAAGAGGCAGAGAAACCAGAUCCUCCCUAAGAGCAGCCUCAGUAGACCAGGGUCUCUAUUUAUCGAAAAGCUAAAAGUGAAAUUUUGAACUGAAGUGAAAGACCCAAGUCAAACCUUCCUGAAGAUCUCUGGUGGUACCUCCUAAAGACAGGACGCCCCUGUGGAGGAUGACUGGAGUGGCGUGUAGGACAUCCCAUAGAACAACUCUGGGAACGCUAAAUCAGUGCAAGGGCAAGGACCCUGGACACGAAACGGAGCAAACUCGGUCCACUGAGGAAGAGUGGGAGAUUAGGUUGAAGGUAUUA